UUCACUAUGUCUCUCUUUCUUUCUCUCACUCUCAUCCCGAAUUUUACGAAUUUCAGAACGAGGGUAAAUUGGUAAUUUCACGUGUGGAGAUAUUUUUCAUGUUUGUCUUUUUGGGCUUGCUAGUGGGGCCCACCCUUUUGUUUUGGUCUUCCAGCCUUCUCUCCUUCUUCCCUUUCCUCGUCACUCUCUGUCUUUCAUCUUCACUAUCUCUCUCUUUCUUUCUCUCACUCUCAUCUCUCUGUAACUCUCCAUUUCUUCAAACUCACACAUGACACCACCUCCACCAUCACUAGCCUCGCCACUCUGGCAAACCCCAUCAUCCUUAGGACCUCCCUGUUGCGACCAUCAAGGCUCCUCCUUCUCUUUCCCUCUCACGAUAUAGUGUCACUGUCACUGUUCAAAAUGUUCUCCAGCGAACUCUCACCAAUACCAACAUGGGUAAGCUUCGGAAACACACUAAACCUUCUCAUUUUGUCCCCAUAGUUUGUUUUUUUAUCGUGCUUGUGUGUUAUGGAUGUCGAAGCAUCGCAAAAACAGCUCGGGGAUACUUCCCCAAAUUCCGGCGAGAACCCGAGCUUUUCAAACCAUUUUUCGAUCAACUCCGGUCACGGCUGGCCAAGGGAUAGGACUUAGAAUCGAGGCAUACAAUACCAGCAUCAAGGCACUCCUGCAUUGGUAUGUUCGAGUCCUCUUGAUGUAGGACCCAUUCCUUUGUUCGUACCUUUUCAUAAUAUUCCUUCUACAGUAUUCCUAAUUAGUUGUAUGCUCUGAACACGUUCCCACAUUUGCAUAUUCAUUAUAGUUAAGUUUACGUGUUUUAUCUUA